CAGGCUCAGAGAUCUCAUUCAGAAACUCAUGAGAAAACAAACAAGUACAUUAGAAAGUUCAAAGCAAACAGAUUAAAGAAACUGAUUUGAAGCAUGAUGAGGGUAGAAGAAACAGUAGAAGAAAACAUGCUUUAAACAUGUCCUUUAGAAGAAACUUAAAAUAGGUAAAGCAGAAGAGAAAAUAAUGAACACUUAAGUACAUACUAGAAGGAUACAAUAGGAGAAGCAUAUCAGAAAAACGGCAAAAAAUAGUGCGAAAGCAUAAGAGAACAUAGCAUAGAAAAUACAUUAGAAGAAAGAACAGAACACAGUAGAAGAACAUGCGUGAUAAAGGAAAAACAUAAGAAUACAGUACAUACGAAUACACACAAAGGAAAGGAAAAGAAAAUUUAGAGAAACAUUUUGAAAAUUUUUAGAAAACCCUAAAUCGGGAAGAAGUAACUUUUGAAAGUAAUUUUUGAAAGAAAAGUUGUGAAAAUCUUUCAAAAACUCAAAUAAAGCAUGGAUACACAACAUAUCUAAGAAAAUUUGAGAAAACCUCGAACAUUUAGGGUCUCAGAAGAACCCUAGAGUGAGAAAAGCUUGGAAAAGGUCCGAUCUAAGUCGGAUAAGGUCAGAAUCAGGCUCAGAAGACCAAAAGCCACCGGAGCAAAGCCGAAGAUGGCAGAAAUCCUCGAAUCGAUGAAGGUCUGAGUGAAGACUCUUAUAGUCUGUCCUCGAUCCUUCAAACAUCAGGAUCAUAAGAGCAGCAGGAGGUGAGUAUAGGUUGUCCAUGGCCUGAGAAGCCAUGGACUCUGGUGAGUUUAAGAGUGGAGAUGAUAGAAGGCGGCUAGGGUUUUAGAGAGGUUGAGAGAGAAUUGGGAGAUGACGGGGGAUUCAAGGGCGGCU
rnacentral:lncRNA from 1 species